rnacentral:rRNA from 1 species
GAAACGCCCGGUCCCUUUCCGAACCCGGAAGCUAAGCCUGCGUCGCGCUGAUGGUACUGCACUCGGGAGGGUGUGGGAGAGUAGGUUGCUGCCGACA